GACGAACGCUGGCGGCGUGCUUAACACAUGCAAGUCGAGCGGUAAGGCCCUUUCGGGGGUACACGAGCGGCGAACGGGUGAGUAACACGUGGGUGACCUGCCCUUAGCUCUGGGAUAAGCCUGGGAAACUGGGUCUAAUACCGGAUAUGACUCCAUGACGCAUGUUGUGGGGUGGAAAGCCUUGUGCGGCUAGGGAUGGGCCCGCGGCCUAUCAGCUUGUUGGUGGGGUGAUGGCCUACCAAGGCGACGACGGGUAGCCGGCCUGAGAGGGCGACCGGCCACACUGGGACUGAGACACGGCCCAGACUCCUACGGGAGGCAGCAGUGGGGAAUCUUGCGCAAUGCGCGAAAGCGUGACGCAGCAACGCCGCGUGCGGGAAGACGGCCUCGG
rnacentral:rRNA from 1 species